GGGUGUAAUUGGGAAUUUUACCCGCAUCAAUAAAUCCGGAAGAUUUGAUUACUCCGCCUUUCACUCUUCCACAUCUCCACGAUUAUUGAAUUUCUGCAGACACCAUUCGUUUUGUAGAAAACUUUCUGCAGAUUAGGACAUUACGAUUACGAAGAAGGUUGAAGUUCAUCGUGUUUCUGCAGAAUCAUCCUUGUUUCGGCGCACCAACAGGGCGCCGCCCCCUUUCUCAUGCCGGCGCCGCCUCCCCUUGCCGCCACAGUCAACACCACGACCACCGACUUCGCCCCACCCGCCUCUCUCUCAAACCAUAAUUCUCAAAAUUUUCUCUGACUCCAUCUCAUUCGAUCAUAGGCAACGAUGUCUCCAUCGCCGAUGCGCCGCCGCCUUCGCUUGGACCUCCUUUGUCCACGACUGAACAGCAGCGGCGGAGCAUAGGGAAGCUUCAGCCCUUGUGCUCCUAUAUCGUAAUUUAUGAUCAGCAACAGCGGAAAGAUCUGAUUUUUAUUAAAGAGCCAGAAGGCUUGUUCGUAGGUUGUGGAGCUCGACUUUCUUUAUCCCAGUGAAGGAAUACAUCGCAGAUGGGAAAAUGGUUACAGAACUACUUCCAUGGCUGCAACUGCUGAUCAAGCGGCCUUUACGCUGACUAUACCUAGACGCAAAGUAAUAGUUGAAGGAAUUGAAGCUAAAAAAGAUGACUGAUUUGUAUUCUAUUCAUUUAUUAAGGAUUUGUGUUCUAUAUUAUUUCACACUUAUUUGUUUUAUGCCAUAGUAAUCAAAAUCAAUGUUUGAUGAACUUGUUGUUCAAAGUUUCUAGUUAAACAUUCGAUAAGUUGUUAUUAUCUAUUCUUUAUUAAUUUAUACUAGUAUACACUCUUUUGAAUGGCA